rnacentral:piRNA from 1 species
UGCAGGCAAACAGGGACUCCACUGCUG